GACGAACGCUGGCGGCGUGCUUAACACAUGCAGGUCGAACGGAAAGGCCCUGCUUUUGUGGGGUGCUCGAGUGGCGAACGGGUGAGUAACACGUGAGUAACCUGCCCUUGACUUUGGGAUAACUUCAGGAAACUGGGGCUAAUACCGGAUAGCAGCUCCUGCUGCAUGGUGGGGGUUGGAAAGUUUCGGCGGUUGGGGAUGGACUCGCGGCUUAUCAGCUUGUUGGUGGGGUAGUGGCUUACCAAGGCUUUGACGGGUAGCCGGCCUGAGAGGGUGACCGGCCACAUUGGGACUGAGAUACGGCCCAGACUCCUACGGGAGGCAGCAGUGGGGAAUAUUGCACAAUGGGCGGAAGCCUGAUGCAGCAACGCCGCGUGCGGGAUGACGGCCUUCGGGUUGUAAACCGCUUUCGCCUGUGACGAAGCGUGAGUGACGGUAAUGGGUAAAGAAGCACCGGCUAACUACGUG
rnacentral:rRNA from 1 species